UACCGGCCUCCGCUCCACCAGGGUCCAUUGUUCCCAAAACAGCCCAAAGACUAAUGCGCAGCGGAGGUAACGACGGGCGCUAGCAGCUUCGGUUGUCCUGGUUCUACCUCAGAGCUGAAAUCGACGAAACCGGAGGUAGCAGAGCCCAAAACUAUUAUUUGAAGCUCAAUCAUUGUUUGUGCAACUGAGAAUUUUUCAGUAGGUAAUUUUUAAUGUUCAUUUUGUGUUAAUCUUCAAAUUUGAAGUUUUUUUUUUCCAUUUUAUUUUGAUGCAAAUCUGCAUGGAACUUUAACGAGUUCUAACAAAUUGAACUUUCGGAUUGAGCAAUUUGGAUAAUUUUGCUCGAUAGUUCGUAUUUCAGAGAAAAUUAGGGAAUGGUUGAAUUGGUUCUGUUGGCUUUGGCUUUUAUCGUUGUUAGCAACUUGAGAAUAGAGGGAGAGGGGGAGGGAGAGAGGGAGCAGAGACAGGGAGAGCUAUGAAGGAAUAUUUGUUUAUAUAAGUCUUUGUUUUUGUUUACUGAUAGAUUCUGCAAUCUGCACAGCUUUUUUUCUUCUGAUUUUGUGUGUUUUCUUUAAUGGUUUUUGUGUUGGAGAGGGACGAAGGGCUUUAGUUAUGAUGGUUGAUUUUCUUUUUUUAAUUAAUUAGCAAAUUAUUUUAUCAGUCAAUGCUUAUUCAGGAUAGUAGCCCUCCAGGAUCUUGCUGCUCUUUCAUACUCAUUACUCAGGUUCAAUGCGUAUUUCUACAAUAUGUAGUCAACUCAGUGCUAUUAAGGCGAAAGGCGACAUGGUACCCUAUGACCUUAGGCGAGAGGUCUAAAUUGACGGAGGGAUUCCACAGAAUCACAUUCUCUCUGCUAUUUUCAACAAGGGAAUCCAUUCUCUUUGGGGGCAGAACGACCCAAGAUUGUAAUUUGCAUGACUUAAAUUCACAGAAAACGUUAAUCACUUGCUAACAAUACUGCAUCAAUAUAAUGCUUGGGAUCUCUUAUGGAGAACUCUUCCUCUUGCUUGGAGCCACUGCUGCACUGAUUGGACCCAAGGAUCUACCAGUAAUAGCAAGAACAGCUGGGAGAUUAGCUGGUCGAGCCAUUGGCUAUGUCCAGUUGGCUCGGGGUCAAUUCGAGAACGUCAUGCAGCAAUCUCAAGCCCGCCAAGUUAUUUUUCCAGCCUUCUUUUAAAGUAGAUUUUUUUAAAUGCAGUGUCUUGAGUAGAAAAUGUAUAAUGGCUUCUUUGUGAAUUAUAUUGUAUCCUGAUAUGUAUUGAGAUAAUAUGCAUAUUUUGCAAGCUGUCUUUCAUUUGAUUAAUGGCUAAUGAGUAGAGAGAUGUAGUGGAAGAAAGGCAAUGGAAUAUCUAGCUCCAAAACUAAAAUGAGGAAAUACAAGCUCUAUACAAUUAUUUGGAUAAAUAAGAUUAGAAGACUUUUAUUUUUAUUUUUAUUUUUUACUAUUGAUGUGCAUUGCAAAAAGAAGAUGGUGAUUGAAGUAAACCAAACUCCUAGGCAUUGGCUCAGAUGUUGAAAGGUAAUAUUGUUUACCAAAAGAAAUGAAAGAUACUUUUCCUUGUGCUCUCAAAAACUGAGAAAGUUGGAUUUCUCUAUGUCGUCCUCUCCCUAUUCUUUAUUCCUCCUAAUGUCUUUUGAGUCUUCAGGCAUGUGUUGAUUAUUCAAUUAUUUGGAAAUUUAGAAUUAUCUUUUUCCCACAAUUAGUGAGAAGGCACUUACGGGUUUUUGUUUCCAUUAUCUCAGUCUAGAAUUUUAAUCAUUUUCCUUUUUUAGUGCACCUUUACCCAAUUUGUUCAUGUCCGCACAUCCUUACAAUCAUAGACCUUGAAAUUAGGCGAACAUGAAAUAUAUGUAUAAUGCUUCUGUCUAACUUUAAGUUGUCUCAUGUUCUUAUCUAAGAUAUCUUUGAGACUAACACCUCAAUGGGGUGUCUGUUUCGCAUAAUAGUGCUCAACUGCAUUUUUCUUGUUUCUGCUGUCAGUAUAUUUCAGAAUUCUGAUUUUCCUGGUAUUUUGAAGAGGUAAAACCAUAGAAACCUAUCAAAAAUCAGCAACAGUUUUCUCCCAAAUAACUUAUGUAAGUAAUGUAGGAUAAAUUUUAAUAACUGUCCCUGAACUUAUAUGGUUGUAACAUUACAGUUCUUUAAUUUUAAAAUGUAACAUAA
rnacentral:misc_RNA from 1 species